GGAGCUCUUUGCUGCCGAAGGCUAUAAGGGGGUCCGGGGCAGUGACCUUGGGACGUCAGGAAUGAGGAUCAGCCUGAGGCAGCCACAUGUGGUGGGGCAGAGGAUGGAGAACAUAGUUUCAUCAGUGGACAGCCCUUGGCGAGUAAAAGAUGCUUCGCUUUUGUGAAGCUGGUCUCUGUGCUAGGGACCCUCCUGUAUUUCCUCUUCUACAUAAAAGGUACCCUGAUUUUGCUGUGGGGGAAUGACUCUCCCUCUACCCAGGACAGGGAUCCCCUCUCCCAGAGCUACUUGGAAAUGUCUGCCUCCACAUGAAGACAGGGAACUCAUGCUGCCAUUGUCACCCUCCGAGGUACCCAGCAGUCUCCAUGCCUUGGAUGAGACUCGGUGUCCUACGUGUAAAAUGGAAGGAUGACACCUUCCCUGCAGGCAGCUGUGAAGGACUACCUGCAAUUACAUGCCCUGGCUGCUGUGGCUCAGUGGACUGAGCACCAGCCUGUGAACCAAAGGGUCGUGGG